rnacentral:rRNA from 1 species
GACGAACGCUGGCGGCGUGCUUAACACAUGCAAGUCGAACGGAAAGGCCCUGCGUUUGCGGGGUGCUCGAGUGGCGAACGGGUGAGUAACACGUGAGUAACCUGCCCUUGACUUUGGGGUAACUUCAGGAAACUGGGGCUAAUACCGGAUAGGAGCUCCUGCUGCAUGGUGGGGGUUGGAAAGUUUCGGCGGUUGGGGAUGGACUCGCGGCUUAUCAGCUUGUUGGUGGGGUAGUGACUUACAAAGGCUUUGACGGGUAGCCGGCCUGGGAGGGUGACCGGCCACAUUGGGACUGCGAUACGGCCCAGACUGCUACGGGCGGCAGCAGUGGGGAAUAUUGCAGAAUGGGCGGAAGUCUGAUGCAGCAACGCCGCGUGCGGGAUGACGGCCUUCGGGUUGUAAACAGCUUUGGAAUGUGACGAAGAGUGCGUGACGGUAAUGGGUCAAGAAGCAACGGCUAACUACGUG